GAUGAACGCUGGCGGCGUGCCUAAUACAUGCAAGUCGAGCGAACGGACGAGAAGCUUGCUUCUCUGAUGUUAGCGGCGGACGGGUGAGUAACACGUGGAUAACCUCCCUAUCAGACUGGGAUCACUUCGGGAAACCGUAGCUAAUACCGGAUAAUAUUUUGAACCGCAUGGUUCAAAAGUGAAAGACGGUCUUGCUGUCACUUAUAGAUGGAUCCGCGCUGCAUUAGCUAGUUGGUAAGGUCACGGCUUACCAAGGCAACGAUGCAUAGCCGACCGGAGAGAGGGAUCGGCGACACGGGAGCUUAGACAGGGACCAGAGUCCUAAGGGAGGCAGCAGUAGGGAAUCGGCGGCAGUGGGCGAAAGCCUGACGGAGCAACGCCGCGUGUGUGAUAAAGAUCCCGGGAGCGUAAAACUCUGUUAUUAGGGAAGAACAGAUGUGUAAGGAACUGAGGAGAGCUUGACGGUACCUGAUCAGAAAGCACCGGCUAACUACGUG
rnacentral:rRNA from 1 species